CCCGCUGAACUUAAGCAUAUCAAUAAGGCGAGGAAUAGAAACCAACAGGGAUUCCCCCAGUAGUGGCGAAUGAAGCGGGAAAAGCUCAAGUUUGAAAUCUGGCAGGCGACUGUCCAGAGUUGUAAGCUGGAGAGGUUUCAUCCGACGCGGUCCGGGCUCAAUUUCCUUGGAACAGGAGGUCAUGGAGGGUGAGAACCCCGUACAUGGCUUGGGUGCCGCAGUCCUAGUGAUGGUUCCUCUAAGAGUCGGGUUGUUUGGGAAUGCAGCUCAAAAUGGGUGGUAAAUUUCAUCUAAAGCUAAAUAUUGGCGAGAGACCGAUAGCAAACAAGUAGAGUGAUCGAAAGAUGAAAAGUACUUUGAAAAGAGAGUGAAACAGUACGUGAAAUUGUUGAAAGGGAAGCGUUUGGCAUCAGCCCAUGAUGGUCAUCGAACAUCCUGGCUUCUGCCUGGUGCACUCGAUGGCCAUUGGGCCAGCGUCGGCUCUGCCAGCUGGAGAAAGGCCUUGGACAAGUGGCUCCUUUUCGGGAGCGUUAUAGCCCAUGGCGUCAUGCAGCUUGGUGGGGCCGAGGUCCGCGGGUUUUCCUAGGACGCUGGCGUAAUGGUUCCAAGCGACCCGUCUUGAAACACGG
rnacentral:rRNA from 1 species